rnacentral:misc_RNA from 1 species
GGCUUAACCAUGAAAAAAGAGUCCUCAACAUCUCACCACUCAGGUUGCUGCCUAAAAAAGAGCUAAAAGAGGGGAGGAAGCAUUAAGCUGCAUUAAUGUUAAUAGGGAAACAUGUAUUGCAAUCUCUGGUUGCCUCAACUCAGUUAGGCUUGCUAAUGUUGCACUGUGCGUGUAGCAAAUAGUGACACUCCCACAAAUGAAGCAUUUCAUGCUGAUGGUUGCAUUGAGUGAUAGGCAAGUGUAACUACGCUUGCUUGCCACUUUUUCCCCAGCUGAACAAAUUGUUUUGACAUGGUAGGUUUUUCCAAGCAGAUUC